rnacentral:rRNA from 1 species
CACGUAGGCACCAAGCGUUGUCCGGAUUUAUUGGGCGUAAAGAGCUCGUAGGCGGUUCAGUAAGUCAGGUGUGAAAUCUUUGGGCUUAACCCAAAGCGUGCAUUUGAUGCUGCUGUGACUUGAGUUCGGUAGGGGAGUGGGGAAUUCCUAGUGUAGCGGUGAAAUGCGCAGAUAUUAGGAGGAACACCGGUGGCGAAGGCGCCACUCUGGGCCGAAACUGACGCUGAGGAGCGAAAGCGUGGGUAGCAAACAGG